GGAGAAUGUUCAGGACUGUCGAGGCGCGCUCCGCACCUGGCCUGAAAGCGGGAGAUUUGGCAACCAGUGCGCGUGGGUGCGCCGGCCCUUGCAGCUGGGGACUCUGGAGGCAGACCUUGCCCAAAGCCAGAGGCAGGAACUCCCCAGAUCCUCCCAGGGUAGCAUGGGAGGAUGCCGCCUCCUCCAGGAAGCUCUCUAGCGCUUUUCCGAGUCCUGGAGCCAGGCGGGACUUCUCUGUGGUCGCCUAGAAGGGUAUGAACUUAGGGCAUCCCCAUCUGGGCUGUGAAGGUUUCUGACUUGGGGACCAGGUGCUCAGACCUUCCUGGAUGCUGCUUUCCACAAUAUCUCUACCAGGCAGGCAGGUUCUCUUCAUUUUGCAAAUUUGGUGAAACAGCAUUUGUAAAACUUUAGAAGCUUCCUUGGCUCACACAGGUGGUAGUGGCCCUGUCAGGAUUUGACCCAGGCUCUCGGAUUCCAGAGUUCCUGAAUUUAACCACCUGUACUGUGAUGCCUCCUUAUCAUGUGUGCAUCGUGCAUUACUAUUUUUUAUAGCCUGUAGGGUACUGAGCACCAUGCACACCUACAGUGAUCACAGGCACUGCCUACUGGAAGGUCUUCUUUGGCUGGGUUCCAGUUUCCUCAGACGAUGUAGGGCAGGGAGUUCCACUUGUUAGCAUAUCCCACAGGGCCUUUCUCUUCAAAUGGACCCCAGCAGCCAACCACACAGCUGCCUCAGCAAGCGUAGGAGAUGGCACAUCAGAGACCAACAAUUGUCAGCACAGCAAAACUGGGCAUUUCUUUUCUUACUGAGCUUUGCAGCUACCUACACAGUUGUGUGUGGCAUCUCCUCCUGGGUGCAAGGACAUGAGAUGACAUCAGGGUCUUGCUGUGUCAUCCAGGCUGGAGUGCAGUGAUAUGAGCAUGGCUCACUGCAGCCUCGACCUCCCAGCUUCAAGCAAUGCUCCCACCUUGGCCUCCCAAAGCGCUGGGAUUACAGGCAUGAGCCACCAUGCCUGGCCAUUGCCAUUGCAGUAAGUUUUGAAAUCACUUCAGCUGGUUCUCCUGAACCUUGAAUUAUCUUAGGAAAGAUUGUAUUUUCAGGAAUUAAGUCUAUUGGAGACACAGCAGGACUCCACAGCCAGCUAGAUUUGGAUAAAAUGUAGACUGCCUCAAGGCCAGUGUGUUGACUUCUGACCAGUCUCAUCUGAACCCACACCCUUUAACAUAUAUACAAAACACCUGAAGGGUUGGGCUGCCAGCUUUCUUUAGGAUGAUAGAGGGCAGGUUAAGUUUGUUUGACAUAACUAGAAGAGGUGGAGCCUCUUCCUAAUGGAGCAAGGUCCAUUUAUGGCAAACUGUGGUCCCCCACCACUAUCAGCUACUUCUGGAUAGCUUUUGCUUAAAGUUGAUGAGAUAUUGUUUCUUUCACUAGAAGAAAAUGAAUGAGUUGGUGAUCCCAAACUUUGGCCUCCAAAGGAAGCCUGGGCAGGUGACAAAUGUGUCCUAAGCGAGACUGCUGCUUCCAUGCUCAUGCUGGAGGUACAUUUGCCCUGAAAGAUGGAGCAAAAGUGCUGAAGCUUAGCACAGAGGAUUAAUGAAUAAGAACAAGGCUAUGUUAUAUCAUAUUUGUAUAGCAAUCUGGAAAAGAAAGAACGGGGCUUGUUAAGGCAAAUGGGCAAGACAAAACGGGAUAUCUAUAGGCAGCAAGGGGUCCUGCCAGUCUAAGACUAAUGGAAAACUGGCCCAUAGCCAGGUAUUUUCUCAAUGGUGUUCACUACACCAAGUCAGAGGGCUACUUUGUCUAGAUAGAGCCCAGGUAUUGUGAGUGAGUGCAGGAAUAGAAGUGUCUUCC
ensembl:lncRNA LINC00904 long intergenic non-protein coding RNA 904